rnacentral:lncRNA from 1 species
AGGAGAGUCAGAGCAAGAACUUUAGAUUCUUUGAUCAGAGUGGUGGCCAAUGAAUGAGUAACAGGGAUGGUAGAAAGUGGUCCAAGAAAAGGUGGGGUAGUUCUGAGUCUCACUCAAUGGCUAAUGCUCCCUACCUAAAUUCGUAUGGUUAUAGAUGUUUCCAUGGUGGCAAUACUUUUAGGGCAUAGAGUGCCCAAUAUCAGGCUAGUAGGG